rnacentral:rRNA from 1 species
AGUGAACGCUGGCGGUAGGCCUAACACAUGCAAGUCGAACGGCAGCACAGUAAGAGCUUGCUCUUACGGGUGGCGAGUGGCGGACGGGUGAGGAAUACAUCGGAAUCUACUUUUUCGUGGGGGAUAACGUAGGGAAACUUACGCUAAUACCGCGUACGACCUACGGGUGAAAGCAGGGGAUCUUCGGACCUUGCGCGAUUGAAUGAGCCGAUGUCGGAUUAGCUAGUUGGCGGGGUAAAGGCCCACCAAGGCGACGAUCCGUAGCUGGUCUGAGAAGAUGAUCAGCCACACUGGAACUGAGACACGGUCCAGACUCCUACGGGAGGCAGCAGUGGGGAAUAUUGGACAAUGGGCGCAAGCCUGAUCCAGCCAUACCGCGUGGGUGAAGAAGGCCUUCGGGUUGUAAAGCCCUUUUGUUGGGAAAGAAAAGCAGCAGGUUAAUACCCCGCUGUUCUGACGGUACCCAAAGAAUAAGCACCGGCUAACUUCGUG